ACCGAAACCGGUCGCAGGCGUUUACGAUGCUGGAAAAUGCAACCCCGAACAAUGUUGCCGCUCUCAGCGGGCGGCUCGUCGUGCGUUAGUUGAUUGUGAACGUUGCUGCUGGUUGGAACGUCCGGCCGCAUGCCGUUUGGGGUUUGAGCGUUUUGUCGAUGUUGACAUCGUAGUAAGGCCGCUCGUCCGUGCGUACGCGGACGGGUGGCUUGUGUUUACACAUGGCGUGUGAAUGUAUGUGUGUUGUUUGUUGUGCUUCUUCCAUGCGGUCCCCUUGCCAUGUGACUUUGGCAUACUUUUGCCUUGGAUGGAGGGAGUUUUAAACAAGAGUAUCCCUUUGCAUUUGAGUUAUUGAUUAAGUGCUUUCGUUAAAGUAUUAUGUUCUUGUAUGUUUAGAGGUUCCCAGUUUGUGAUCGAAAUUCCUUAUGGACUACACUAAGUGUGAAGUUUGGUGACAUCGUUUGACAUGAAACGAUCUUCAUUCAUCCAUUGAAUAAUUAGAUCAUUUAAACUUGCAUCGUUAUAUGUGUCAUAUGUUUAAUGUAACAAUAUUAAACAAUUCUACACAACACUUCAAAUGCCUGGAUAGCUCAACCAAAAUUAAAUCUUUUAAAAAAUAGUCUACAAACGUCAUCUCUAGCCAACAAACUAUGUUUAACUACGACAGCAGGGACUAGACGACAGUGAACAACCAACAGAGGGAAUCAGUCGUGGAAUUUUGAAGUUCAAAAAAUAAACCACAUAAAAUAAACUAAAUUGUUAAGUUUGCGUUUUUCCACUUUAUUAAUAAAGAGUUCAGUUAAGAGUAGCA